rnacentral:rRNA from 1 species
AGCGUAGACGGAUGGACAAGUCUGAUGUGAAAGGCUGGGGCUCAACCCCGGGACUGCAUUGGAAACUGCCCGUCUUGAGUGCCGGAGAGGUAAGCGGAAUUCCUAGUGUAGCGGUGAAAUGCGUAGAUAUUAGGAGGAACACCAGUGGCGAAGGCGGCUUACUGGACGGUAACUGACGUUGAGGCUCGAAAGCGUGGGGAGCGAACG